rnacentral:rRNA from 1 species
GAUGAACGCUGGCGGCGUGCUUAACACAUGCAAGUCGAACGGUGAAGCAGGAGCUUGCUCUUGUGGAUCAGUGGCGAACGGGUGAGUAACACGUGAGCAACCUGCCCCUGACUCUGGGAUAAGCGCUGGAAACGGCGUCUAAUACUGGAUAUGUGAUGUGACCGCAUGGUCUGCAUCCGAAAGAAUUUCGGUUGGGGAUGGGCUCGCGGCCUAUCAGCUUGUUGGUGAGGUAAUGGCUCACCAAGGCGUCGACGGGUAGCCGGCCUGAGAGGGUGACCGGCCACACUGGGACUGAGACACGGCCCAGACUCCUACGGGAGGCAGCAGUGGGGAAUAUUGCACAAUGGGCGGAAGCCUGAUGCAGCAACGCCGCGUGAGGGAUGACGGCCUUCGGGUUGUAAACCUCUUUUAGCAGGGAAGAAGCGAAAGUGACGGUACCUGCAGAAAAAGCACCGGCUAACUACGUGCCAGCCGCCGCAGUAA